rnacentral:rRNA from 1 species
UGGGGAAUAUUGGACAAUGGGCGCAAGCCUGAUCCAGCAAUGCCGCGUGUGUGAAGAAGGUCUUCGGAUCGUAAAGCACUUUCGACGGGGACGAUGAUGACGGUACCCGUAGAAGAAGCCCCGGCUAACUUCGUGCCAGCAGCCGCGGUAAUACGAAGGGGGCUAGCGUUACUCGGAAUUACUGGGCGUAAAGGGCGCGUAGGCGGCGUUCCAAGUUAGGCGUGAAAGUCCUGGGCUCAACCUGGGAACUGCGCUUAAGACUGGAGUGCUAGAGGAUGGAAGAGGGUUGUGGAAUUCCCAGUGUAGAGGUGAAAUUCGUAGAUAUUGGGAAGAACACCGGUGGCGAAGGCGGCAACCUGGUCCAUUACUGACGCUGAGGCGCGAUAGCGUGGGGAGCAAACAGG